rnacentral:rRNA from 1 species
UACGAAGGUGGCAAGCGUUAUUCGAAAUCACUGGGCUUAAAGGGCGCGUAGGCGGACAUGAUAGUGCUUUGUGAAAUCCCCCGGCUUAACCGGGGAAUGGCUGGGCAUACUACAUGUCUUGAGGCAAGCAGGGGUGUGUGGAACUCUUGGUGGAGCGGUGGAAUGCGUAGAUAUCAAGAGGAACGCCGAAGGUGAAGACAGCACACUGGACUUGUACUGACGCUGAGGCGCGAAAGCGUGGGGAGCAAACAGGAUUAGAUACCCUGGUAGUCCACGCCGUAAACGAUGUAUACUAGGUUGCGGGGGUUCUGACACCGUCGCAGUCGCAGCAAAAGUGUUAAGUAUACCGCCUGGGGAGUACGGUCGCAAGGCUAAA